rnacentral:piRNA from 1 species
CCCCUCAUUCUUUGCCAAAU